GCCGGGUGCGGUGGCGCGCGCCUGUAAUCCAAGUUACCGGGAGGCUGAGGCUGGAGGAGCGUUUGAGCUCAGGAGCUCUGGGCUGCAGCGGACUAUGUCGAUCGGGUGUCCGCACUAAGUUCGGUAUCGAUAUGGUGCUCCGGGGGGAGCCCGGGAUCACCAGGUCGUCUAAGGAGGGGUGCACCGGCCCAGGUCGGACACGGAGCAGGUCAAAGCCCCCGUGCCGCUCAGUAGUGGGAUCGCGCCCGUGAAUAGACUCUGUAGUUCAGCCUGAGUAAGACAGCGGGACCCAGUCUUUA
rnacentral:SRP_RNA from 1 species